UCCACACUCUCAGUCAUGUCAGUCAACAUGAGAAUUUUUUUUCCAAUUUCACAAAUUUCCUUUCUUAAUUCUUUGAAAUGGAAUGUCGGAACUGCUUCAAAAACUUGUUGAUGACUUGAUGAUCUGACUGUUGUUGCAUGAAUCCAAUUAAAUUGAUGGAUACGGACUCAUAAAAAUGUGACUUGGCUAACUUAACCUUACAGUAGUGUUUUAGUUUUUCAGAAUCAGAUAAGACAACAAUCUCAUUCUCAAAAUGUCGGAGCCUUUAGCUGGAGAUGUUCGAGGAAGGAGUGCAAUAGAUAGAGAAGAUGGUAGCACUGCAAUUAGUGCAAAGAAAUCCAAGAAGUAGUCAAUCUCACCGGAGAGAAUAAUUUUCAGAGUCUGUGUGAGCAGUCGCAGUUCUACUGCCAGGAUGAACAGGGGAGUUGUCAUGGUGACAACUUCUACAACGAGGAUAAACAGCCUUCAAGGGAACACCCAGCCUGUUCUGGGCAGCAGAGGCAUGGCCAAGAGAACCAAGCCAACACUGGUGGAGAGGGGACCAGUCACAAUGGAAGUAGAGUUGCCCCAAAUCAACAAGAUUCGGACCAAGAGGGCCACAUGACCUCCUGUUCACAUCUUAUGAAGCAAAUUGGCGAGGAAUUAAAUUACAUCCACGGGGCAUUUAGACCCCUCUUCAUAGACUGUGAAAUAGCUGAGAACAUGUGCAUUGAUCAUUUGGACAGUCUCCUCACUCAAGCCAAGGAGUAUGAAGAAACCUUGAUCGCCCAGAAGCAACAACUUCGAGGACGACUCAGCAUUUUGUCCCAGACACUAAAAAACAUUUAAUGAUUCUAAAAGUACACUGAGCAAGGAGUUAUAAAAGAUAUUGGAUAUUAGACUAAUGCAUAUCACUGCCACUCUCACAAUUAAGAUAUUGCCUCUUAGGACAGCUUACAACUGAAAUCUGUAAACCACAACAUUUUCAAAAUUCAACAGUUCAUAGAUGUGCUCACUUUCAACAGGUGGUGGAUGCAAAGCUGCAUUUUCUUUAUGAAUUUUUGUGGUCAAAUGCCGAGUUGAAAUUCUGGCAUAUUUCAUUCAUGUCUGAAAGUGCAUUCACAAAAUGAAAUGCUUCCAAAGUCUCAUGGUUAACACAGGAAGAUUUGUAAAAACUUACUUUCACAAGCAUUACGGUUCUUCUCAAUCCUUGGUCAAAUGAUACUGUCCAUCAUUGUUGGGUAAUGUCUAGAUGACAUCAGCAGAGAUUCAAGUUUAGUGUGUUACUGGUUCCCCUCAUUCAUGUCUUGAGGAGUGGGU